UACGGGGGGGGCAAGCGUUGUUCGGAAUUCCUGGGCGUAAAGCGUGCGUAGGCGGCUCUUCAAGUCGAGUGUGAAAGCUCCAGGCUUAACCUGGGAAUUGCGCUCGAUACUGUUGAGCUAGAGUGUGGAAGGGGCUACUGGAAUUCCGUGUGUAGCGGCGAAAUGCGUAGAUAUACGGAGGAACACCUGCGGCGAAGGCGGGUAGCUGGGCCAACACUGACGCUGAUUCACGAAAGCUAGGGUAGCAAACGGG
rnacentral:rRNA from 1 species